UGACUGCAUGAGCUGAUUUUGUCUCAUGUGAGAAAAAAAUAUUAGCUGCAUGGGAUGUUGUAUGGGCUGGUAUACGUGUGCUGCUGCAUGGCUCAUGCAUGCAUGCAUGUGUCCAUCUUUGCAUGUUUGGAGUUCCACGUUUGCACAUCGUUUGUGUUCUGGGUCCUUCUUUGCUUGCCUAUAAGUAGCUCCUUGCUGUGUUCUUCUCUUAUGUGUCAAACCACUCCUCACCUAUAGGCCCAUCUCUCCUCCUGAUGCUGCCCUCCAGCCUCCACCCAAGAUCCCAUGGUGCGCCUGGUUGCCGCUCCGUCUGGCCGGCCGGGAGGUGCGUGCAAGCUACACCAUGAAUCAGGAGAGCCGCAUGACAUCAUCUUCUCAUAGAUCUUCCUCGGCUCCGGCUCUGUCCCUGGCCUCCAAGGCGGAUACAUGGCGGUGGCCUUCCCAUGGUCCAAGGUGGCACGCCUGCAGUUGGCGCUGGAUAGCUCGCUGCCCUGCCGCUCUCCAUCCUAAUCGACUCCCCUCAGUCUUCCCCAACUUCGGCCCCGGCAAUAGGUCCCCUUCAUCUCCCUUUCCUCUCCUCUGGUGUGCGUGGUUUCCUUGUACGAGUAGACGAGUUAUUAGUACUAGAAUUUCAUCAGAUCUAAAGUUGGGUGCAUAUGCUACAAAUUCUUAAUCUAAGAAGAAUGUUCAGGCAUUGCGUGCAUGUCUGUGCUGAGGACACAAAUUUGGGGGUCCAGCUCCUUGUGUGAAUGUGCAAGGAAUUCGGAACCUGCAUCUUUAAUAUGACAUGGUAUAUUUAUUCUUAAUCUCUCCAUUACGUUUUGUGUUUCAUUUUCUCGAUGGAAGUAAUUGUGGUUUAAUUUCACAUGGUUUUUAAACAAAUAAACACAUGAUGUGCUGAAUAGCUGACAUGCAGAGGAAAUGGUACAGCUUGAUGACUAUUUUACUACUAAAUUAUUCUCAGGUAUUUAUUGUUCCUUUUGUGAUAGUUUUCUCUCUCCUAAAAAUAAAAUGAAUCAUUUUUAAUUCUUUGAACAAGUUUGCCUAAAGUAGGGCGCUCAGCCAUUGAGGCAUUAUCAAUUUCUUUUAGAAGCUUAGCAAAAUCUGCUCUUGUACUAAAGAAAUCUAAUGUAGAUUUGUUAGCCUUAUAGGGUACUAUAUGCUGAACACAUGAUAUUAAAUAUACAAUAAAUUGCACUGUGAAGUGAGUAUGUAUAUACUAUCCACACAGGAUUGCCAUUUUGGAGAUGUUGUGUCACAUCCCUAGCUGCUGGUAGUGCUCUAGGCUAGCUCAUGUGUGCAUCAUGUUUAAAUUUUUGAAACUUGAACUGAGGAAUUUUGGAAGCCUCAAAAACUUAAAUAAAAGAGGGGCAAAAACCCUAGAAAUCUCAUUCAUUGCUCCAAAAUGCUCUUCGUAAAUGUUUAAUAAUUUUUGGUAAGGGUUCUGGUCCCAACCAAAAUAUUGAACAUUUUUAAGGAAUUAUUUUUGGGACUUUGGAUUUAAUUCAUUAGCUAUUUGAAUUUGAAUUAUAUUCAUAUAAUUAGAAUAUAAUUUCAAAUACCCCUGAUAUAUUUUAUAAGCUUUUGGAAAAGUCCAUUUAGCAAUAUAAAAUAUUCAGAGGAGUUUUUAGCUUUGUUUGAAUUUUUUUAAAUUCAAAACAGUGGCAAAAUAAAUUAAAUAAACAAAACAGAAGAAAAAAAUAAAAAGAACAGAAGCCUACCUGGGCCACUUACCUGUAGCCGGCCCAGCUGGCCAGCUCCUCCCGCUGGCCCAGCCCACCGCCGCCUCCCUCCCCUGUCGCCUUCCUCCUCUGCCAGGAGGACGGGCACGCGCCCGGCGCGCGCGGCCACGCGCCCCGGCCACCUCCUCCCUGCCUGGCUGCCUCCUCCUCCCCUGGUCCCUCCCGCGACGCCACGCAGUCCCCGACCCCCUCUCCCUUCUCCCUCUCUCCCGCGUCCUCAUCCUCUCCCCGGAACCCUCUCCCCCCCCUCCUCUGUUCUCCUCACCGAGCGGAGCCCGUCGCCGCCGCUCGCCAUAACCACGGCCACCGGGCCUCCCUCGCUCCCCCGACUAGCCCAGAGGCUCCGCCUCGACCCCCUCUUCCCUCUCCACCGACCCACGGCCCUCCGGAAGCCCUGCAACGCCGCCACCAUCGCCGUUCCGUCGCCGGCCACCGAAGCUCACCGUUGGCGAUUCGCCGCCUCCGACGCCUCCCCGAGCUCCCCGAGGCCACCGUCGCAACCCCUGUGAGCUCCGCCACCGUUUCCCCCUCUUUCCCUCUUCGUUUGGUUGCCGUAGCCGUCGCCCCCUUGAUGACCGAAACCCGCCGCCGUCUGUGAUCGCCGCCGACGUGCCUCCGGCCACCUAGUGGCCCGGCUGUCGUGCUCAGCUUCCUCCCCGCGCUGCCUGGAACACGUAGGUGCCCCGCACGAGCCUCCCCGGCCACCGUAGCGUCAACCCCGAGCUCGCCCGAGCUCCGGCGACCGCCACGCUCGACGCCGGUGACGACUCCGGCCAUCUUAGGCCCAGCCGCUGCCACUACUCGACGCGGACGAGCGCCCGCGUCACGUAGACGCUCUCCGCCGGCCAUUUGGUCAUCGGAGGAGGAAACCCGCACCCCUCCGCCGUUUCUGGCUCCGCCGGCGACGAGUCGCGGGUCAACUCCGGCGAGUUGACCCAGGUUUGACGUUCCCCGUGUGUCACUGACGUGUGGGCCACCCCCCUGACAUUUUAGUUAGUAUUAGUUUAACACUAAUUAACCUAGGUUAGUUAGCUGAUUAGUCGCUGACCAGUGGGCCCCGGCCCCACAAACAGUUUAGUUAGAAUUAACUUAAGGCUAAUUAACUUGGUUAAUUAGUUGUGUCACUGACCAGUGGACCCCACUGGUCAGGUUUGACCUGAAUCUGCCCCGUUGACCUGAUGACGUCAAGGUGAUGUCAUGCUGACGCAUUAAAUGAUUUUCUGGAUUUAAAAUAAAUCAGAAAAUCCAGAAAAUUGUAUAAACUUCUAAAAUUCAUAGAAAAUUAACCGUAACUCCAAAUUAAAUAAAUUAUAUAUGAAAAAUUAUCAGAAAAAUUCAAGGAAUCCAUCUGUACCAUUUUCAUGCAUGUUAGAACAACUUAUAGAUGCUGUUUAGCACAAAUCAAUUAAAUGGCAUUUAAAUAAUCACAUAUGGAGUUUGAAUUUGAAUCUUGUAUUCAAACCAACCCCAUUUAACUUGUUGCUAGAUGCAUUAGCCCAAAACACAUUCAUUUUGCCAUGUCAUGAUCAUGCAUCAUAUUGUGCAUUGGAUUGAUUGUGUUCCCUUCUGUGUUGCCGGUAUUUGUCCCCUCUCGAUAGACGUGAUACCGAUGAUGUGAUCGUUGACACUGAUGAAGACUCAAUGCUAUCUUCAGAAGUGCCAGGCAAGCAAAACCCCCUUGUUCAUUCCGAUAUAAUCCUACUCUCUCGCUCCUGCUCUCUUUUACUGCAUUAGGACAACACCGAUUCAUCUGUUACUUGCUGCGGUAGCUGAACCCCUUUAUCCUUUGCAUGACCUGUCAUUGCCACAGUAAAUAGACGAAACCCACUAGCAUGAGUAGGAGUUGUUUGAGCCCUGAUGUGCCUACUCAUUCAUGCUUGUUUGUCAUGCCUGCUACUGCUUAGAGUUGAGUCAGGUCUGAUUCAUCGGGGAUGAAUCAGAGGCGUGUGAACAUGUCCUACUGUGUGUGAGCUAGGUGUGUGAACACGAUUUGGUAAAGGUAGCGGUGAGAGGCCAUGUAGGAGUACAUGGUGGGUUGUCUCAUUGAAGCCGUCCUCAGGAACUGAGUUCUGUGUUUGUGAUCCAUGAUUCAGCUACUACCAUACAUUGGGCCCUGAAAUAUGACCCCGCUCGACUUCUUAUUCACCCUAGUCCUCUGUCCAGGAGUUGCAAGUAGUUUCUGGUGUUUGUAGCUUACUGGAGGCCGUGGACAGCGCUGACCGUAGGGGUGGGCUGUGAUGCGGUAGGUACGUGGCACGGUGUACCGGAUGCCCGUUUGGUAUCUCGGGAACCCUGUUCACAUCGUUUGGGGCUGUGAGCGAAACUCCGGCCGGAUCUCCUCAUGGAUGGAACCCGAAUAGGCGAUAAACCUGGACUAGAGACUUGAGUGUUUAGGUAGGUCGUGGUCUACACCCACGUCGGCUUUCGCUUGAAGUCUGCCGAGCACAUGUCGUGUGCAGACGCUAAGUGGUGGAAACAUGUAUGAAGAAGUACACCCCUGCAGGGUUAACAUCAUCUAUUCGAAUAGCCGUGUCCGCGGUAAAGGACUUCUGGGUUGCUUACAUCAGUUCAUAGACAAGUGAAAGUGGAUACUUUAAAAUGCGCAAGAUAAGCGUGAGUGCUAUGGAUGGCGUUCUCGUAGGGAGACGGGAGCGGAUCCAUAGUGGUGUAUUGAUAUGGUGAAUAUGUGGACUCGUGUGCGCCACCUCAAAAGAGUUACAUUGCAGUCGUAGUUUAGGAUAGCCACCGAGUCAAAGCUGGCUUGCUGCAGUUAAACCCCACCAUCCCCUUUGUUGAUAAUGAUGCAUAUGUAGUUAGUUCUGAUGUAAGUCUUGCUGGGUACAUUUGUACUCACAUUUGCCUAUUUUAUGUUUUUGCAGAGAGACUUCAGUCUCACUAUUAGUUCCGCUUGGACUUCGACGUUUAGCUUGUUACCUCAGCUACGAUCUUGUGCCCUCGGCAGGAUCUGGUAGAUAGUCAGGCUUCUCAGCCUUUUUCAUUUAUAGAUGUCUGUACUCAGACAUGAUAGCUUCCGCUUGUGCUUUGACUUGUAUGCUCUGAUUGUUGGGUCAUGAGACCCAUGUUUGUAAUGUCUCGCUCCUCGGAGCCUAUUGAAUAGACUACUUGAGUCGUAGAGUCAUUUUGUGAUGCCAUGUUGUAUUGCACAUAUCGAGCAUAUUGUGUGUAUGUUAUUGAAAUGCUUGGUAUGUGUGGGAUCUGACUAUCUAGUUGUUUAUCUUUAGUAGCCUCUCUUACCGGGAAAUGCCUCCUAGUGUUUCCACCGAGCCAUGGUAGCUUGCUACUGCUCCGGAACACUUAGGCUGGCCGGCAUGUGUCCUUCUUCGUUCCUGUGUCUGUCCCUUCGGGGAAAUGUCACGCGAUGAAUACCGGAGUCCUAUUAGCCCGCUACAGCCCGGUUCACCGGAGUCCUGCUAGCCCAGUGCUACAGUCUGGAUUCACUCGCUGAUGACCGACACGUUCGAUGCUGGGUCAUGGAUGCCUGUCCCUGUAAGUUUGUGCCACUUUGGGUUUACGACUAGCCAUGUCAGCCCGGGCUCCUUAUCAUAUGGAUGCUAGCGACACUGUCAUAUAUGUGUGCCAAAAGGCGCAAACGGUUCCGGGUAAAGGUAAGGCGACACCCGUGGGAAUACCGUGCGUGAGGCCGCAAAGUGAUAUGAAGUGUUACAUGCUAGAUCUAUGUGGCAUUGAGUCGGGGUCCUGACAUGUUGCUGGGAUCAUCAUGGAUUGGGAUGCAUUUUGAUAAUAAGAUAUUAGGUAUUGAUAUGUGAUAUGUAUGUCACACUUGACUUCAUCAUCCUUUGUUUUUAGAUGUAUUCUUUAGGCAUACAUUAAUGUGGUAGCUUGGUCAUAUUAUUUAGCUAAUUUAGUCACUAAAUACUCGGAUUUUUUCCCGACUCCCAUUAUAAAGAACUUCCACUUGCCAUCUCUAUAUGAAUUUUCUUUUUGCUACCGAUUUUGGCUAAAGGUUUUUUGGCUCUCAUCUCUAUAUGGAUAUGUUUUUUUAAGGUUAGUAGUUUAGAAGUUCCUGCCAACACUGGUUUUUCGAAGUUAUACUCCCUUCACCAGUUGGGCUUAACAAGGACAUAAUUAAUUCUCUGUUGGUAAUUAGAAGGAAAAAAAUCUGGUUGGAGAAAACUUCUCUUUUGCUUAAUUGUUUACUUCAUAAUUUUAGUAAAAAAAAUCAUUUUUUUCAGGUUAGUAGUAUGGGAGUACCUGUCAAGACUGACUUUUGGAAGUUAUGCUAGCCUCAUCAGUUGGGCUUUCUAUACAAAACUAGACUCAAUAUAAUUUAUUUUGGUGCUUGCGAUGAGUAUUAGACAGAGGGGUGAUGACCACAUAGUUCACCCAGUGUAUCUGUUCAUGUAUGUCAUUAAUUAUCUAAUUAGACAAAAAAAACUCUCUCUGUAUGGUGUUUGUGAUGAUGCUGUCAAUUUACUAAACACUAAAAUACCAGGUUGUUAUUUUCAAAUCUAGCAAAUUAAUUUUCUCUAUUGCUUCUUUUCCAGGCAGAAGUUUUAGUCUAUUAUGUUCCAUGAGUCUUACUGUCAAAA
rnacentral:lncRNA from 1 species